rnacentral:lncRNA from 1 species
AGAUGUUCUGAUUGAGGUGUUUAGAACUCUGUAUUCUCAGUGCAAAGCAGAACUGGAUCUUCAGAUGGAGCCACCCUUCAGCAAGGACCGUGCUCAGCUAAGCAGUAAAUUAAGGGAAAACAAGAAAACAGCUGAGCUGAUUAAAACUGCGAAUCUUCUUUUUAAUUCCUUUGAACCUUAUUAUAUGUGGGAUUACAUUGCACGCUGGUUCGAAGAAUGCUGUCGGAGGACACUGCACGCCAGACUUGAGGUUGGACCUGGAGACAGUAGUGAUGCAUCUGAGUUCCAACUGACUACUUUCUGCUCACUGGUGGACUUUUUGUUGGAUAUAGUCUCCUUGGUAAGACUGUCUUGUU